rnacentral:rRNA from 1 species
CGAACGCUGGCGGCGUGCUUACCACAUGCAAGUCGAACGGAAAGGCCCUGCUUUUGUGGGGUGCUCGAGUGACGAACGGGUGAGUAACACGUGAGUAACCUGCCCUUGACUUUGGGAUAACUUCAGGAAACUGGGGCUAAUACCGGAUAGGAGCUCCUGCUGCAUGGUGGGGGUUGGAAAGUUUCGGCGGUUGGGGAUGGACUCGCGGCUUAUCAGCUUGUUGGUGGGGUAGUGGCUUACCAAGGCUUUGACGGGUAGCCGGCCUGAGAGGGUGACCGGCCACAUUGGGACUGAGAUACGGCCCAGACUCCUACGGGAGGCAGCAGUGGGGAAUAUUGCACAAUGGGCGGAAGCCUGAUGCAGCAACGCCGCGUGCGGGAUGACGGCCUUCGGGUUGUAAACCGCUUUCGCCUGUGACGAAGCGUGAGUGACGGUAAUGGGUAAAGAAGCACCGGCUAACUACGUG